rnacentral:rRNA from 1 species
UAGGGAAUAUUGGGCAAUGGAAGCAAUUCUGACCCAGCCAUGCCGCGUGAAGGAAUACAGCCCUAUGGGUUUUAAACUUCUUUUAUUAUAGAGUAACCGGAGGUACGUGUACCUACCUGCAAGUAUAUGAUGAAUAAGGAUCGGCUAACUCCGUGCCAGCAGCCGCGGUAUUACGGAGGAUCCAAGCGUUAUCCGGAUUUAUUGGGUUUAAAGGGUGCGCAGGCGGAUCAAUAAGUCAGGGGUGAAAAAUUGCAGCUUAACUGGAAUCGUGCCUUUGAUACUGU